UAUAAUUCUUUGCCAGGUACAGCCUAGCCAGUUAAAAAACACAGACCUGGGGUGAAAUGUAAAGUGCAUCUCAAAGUACGUGUAACAUACACGCUUUUCCGGGAUGUUCCUUUCAGGAAAGAUAUGUUAAACAUGAUUCUUCUGGUGUCUGCAUGGCCUCUAUGGACCUUUGGUUGGCUGCUACUUGCGGAGAUGGGGUCUGAACCGACAUGAAGUCGCUUUACUAAAUGAUGUUUUGCCAAGAUUGGUUACCACAGUGCUCCGUUUCUGUAAUUAGAUAUCAAAUAAACUUGUACAAUCCCA